rnacentral:rRNA from 1 species
AUUGAACGCUGGCGGCAGGCUUAACACAUGCAAGUCGAGCGGGGUGAUGGUGCUUGCACUAUCACUUAGCGGCGGACGGGUGAGGAAUGCUUAGGAAUCUGCCUAUUAGUGGGGGACAACAUCUCGAAAGGGAUGCUAAUACCGCAUACGUCCUACGGGAGAAAGCAGGGGAUCACUUGUGACCUUGCGCUAAUAGAUGAGCCUAAGUCGGAUUAGCUAGUGGGUGGGGUAAAGGCCUACCAAGGAGACGAUCUGUAGCGGGUCUGAGAGGAUGAUCCGCCACACUGGGACUGAGACACGGCCCAGACUCCUACGGGAGGCAGCAGUGGGGAAUAUUGGACAAUGGGGGGAACCCUGAUCCAGCCAUGCCGCGUGUGUGAAGAAGGCCUUAUGGUUGUAAAGCACUUUAAGCGAGGAGGAGGCUCUUUUGGUUAACACCCAAGAUGAGUGGACGUUACUCGCAGAAUAAGCACCGGCUAACUCUGUGCCAGCCGCCGCCGUAA